ACUAUUACAUCUUAAUGUAAUCGAAAUAAGGAACAUUUUUAUUAAUAGUUUAUUCUCAAAAUAAUAAAAAAUGUUUGUAGAGCAAUGUACUAUAAAUACUAGUGUAGCCUCAUCAAUAUUGUAUUCAAAAUCAGUCUUUUAAACUGGUUGCUAAAGUUAAUCAAAAGAAAAAUACAAUCAAAAUGAAAAUUUUUAACAUUGUUUUCGUUGUCUUCGCUUGCAUCAUGGCUCUGAGCGCGGUGAACGCCGCUCCGUGGAAUCCUUUUAAGGAAUUGGAAAGAGCUGGUCAAAGAGUGAGAGACGCUGUAAUUUCAGCGGGCCCUGCUGUUGAGGUGGUGGGUCAAGCAGCAUCAAUAUUGAAGGGAAAGAAUUAAUUAAACAACAUUUUAUUUUAUACUAACAUAUCUAAUGUGAGUUUCUUAUUAAAUAUAUUUUAUAUUAUCUUAUACAAGUUUUCAUUUCUUAAUGUAAUCCUUAUGUUAAGUAAACUGUUUUAUGUAACAAAAGU
rnacentral:misc_RNA from 1 species